GUGGGGAAUAUUGGACAAUGGGCGAAAGCCUGAUCCAGCCAUGCCGCGUGUGUGAAGAAGGUCUUCGGAUUGUAAAGCACUUAAGUUGGGAGGAAGGGCAGUAAGUUAAUACCUUGCUGUUUUGACGUUACCGACAGAAUAAGCACCGGCUAACUUCGUGCCAGCAGCCGCGGUAAUACGAAGGGUGCAAGCGUUAAUCGGAAUUACUGGGCGUAAAGCGCGCGUAGGUGGUUUUGUAAGUUGGAGGUGAAAUCCCCGGGCUCAACAUGGGAACUGCCUCCAAAACUGCAUGACUAGAGUACGGUAGAGGGUAGUGGAAUUUCCUGUGGAGCGGUGAAAUGCGUAGAUAUAGGAAGGAACACCAGUGGCGAAGGCGACUACCUGGACUGAUACUGACACUGAGGUGCGAAAGCGUGGGGAGCAAACAGGAUUAGAAACCCCGGUAGUCC
rnacentral:rRNA from 1 species